rnacentral:rRNA from 1 species
GAAAUGCGAUACGUAAUGUGAAUUGCAGAAUUCAGUGAAUCAUCGAAUCUUUGAACGCACCUUGCGCCCCUUGGUAUUCCGAGGGGCACACCCGUUUGAGUGUCGUGAACACAUCCUCAACCUUCUUUUGGUCUUUUGACCAGGGAAGGCUUGGACUUUGGAGGUCUUUCAUUGCUGGUAUCCUUUUAAAGCCAGCUCCUCCUAAAUGAAUCAGUGGGAUCCGCUUUGGUGAUCCUCGACGUGAUAAGCAUUAUUCUACGUCUUGGGUUUUCACAGCAACCUGCUUCCAACCGUCUUUAAACAAAGACAAUGUUCGGGUUUCGACUCGACCCACAAAACCUUGACCUCAAAUCGGGUGAGACUACCCGCUGAACUUAA